CACUAUGUGGUCUCCAUGGUGCACUCUCCACCCCAAGGAUGGCUAGUCCCCCAUCCCCAUGCUCCACUAAUUGGGCUUUAUCGGCGCGGUGUAUUUAUAUAAUAAUAUUUUUAAUAUAGUUGAAUGUUUAUAUAUAAUGAAAUUAAAGAUAUAUCAAGUAUAAUUAUGUUCUUUAGUUGUUUUUAACACCGCUUCUUUUUUUGUAUUUUUAUAUUUUUCUAUUUUUUUGUAUUUUUUUGUAUUUUUUUGUAUUUUUUGUUUUUUCCUGGUUUGGCUUUAUUUUUAUUUUUAUUUUCCAAGUAAUUCCCACCCUUGUUUAAUUUGGUUAACCAUUGUCUUUUCCUUUUCCUUCUGUAGGUGGCGCUCGCGCGACGUUUCGUCUGGUCUGUGACUUCUUCAGGCUGGCCAUCCUACGUGGCGCUCGCGCGACGAUUCGUCUGGUCUGUGACUUCUUCAGGCUGGCCAUCCUACGUGGCGCUCGCGCGACGUUUCGUCUGGUCUGUGACUUCUUCAGGCUGGCCAUCCUACGUAUGAAUUUACUUGAACCCUGGAGAGAUGUUGCUCCCUCAGUGGUUCUUGCCAAACUGACUUGUCUUCUGUUCUAACUUCCCUUUUAUACUCCGCCCACUCUGUCUUUUCUGUUUUAGUAAAUUCUUUUAGGUUUUCUAAAUCUGUAUGUUAAUUAUCCAAUGAAAUGGCUUGUUUGUAUUUCUUAUUUUAAACCCUACUAAUUUUGAAUUAUUUAUUUCUUCACCUAAUGUUUCACUAUUUAUAUUUUUUUUGACUAUGUUGUUAUUUAACUUAUUUAUUGUCAUUAACUUAUUUAUCAACUAAUGAAU